GCGGUUGUGGUGGAAUUGGCAGACACGUCAGACUUAGGAUCUGAUACCGAAAGGUGUGGGGGUUCGAGUCCCUUCAGCCGUACCA
rnacentral:tRNA from 1 species